rnacentral:snRNA from 1 species
UUUUUUCCUUGGCCUUUUGGCUAAGGUCAAAGUAUAGUAUCUGUUCUUAUCAGCUUAAUAUCUGAUUCGAUCCCCAUGUGGGAUCUACGAUAUCAGUCUGAUUUUUGGACUAUGGCGAAGUGCUAGGGGCUUGCUCCUUUGCCGCGGAUCGGCCCGGUAUUGCAGUACUUCCGAAUAAAAAAAUAAU